GUCUCGGUUCCAGUCCCAGCUCUGCCACUGACCUGGGGCGUGAUGUGGAGCUAGAGCUCUGUGCAUUCCCAGGCCUCAGUUUCUCCGUCAGAAAAAACUGGUGGGAAGCCAGGUGCUGUGGCUCUUGUCUGUAAUCCCAGCACUUUUGGAGGCUGAGGCAGGCGGAUCACCUGAGGUCAGGAAUUUGAGUCCAGCUUAGCCAACAUGGUGAAACCCCAUCUCUACUGAAAAUACAAAAAUUAGCCGGGCAUGGUGGCGGGCACCGGUAAUCCCGGCUACUGAAGAGGCUGAGGCAGGAGAAUCACUUGAACCCAGGAGGCAGAGGUUGCAGUGAGCUGAGAUCACACCACUGCACUCCAGCCUGGGUGACAGAGUGAGACUCCAUCUUAAAAAAAAAAAAAGAGAGAGAGAGAGACAGAGAGAAAGAAAAUAAAAAGAAACCUUGGGGGAAGAGACUGGAAGUGGGUGCCCUCCCGCACCGGGUAUCUCACUCCCCUUCUGGCUCUGGUGGAGGCUGCAGGUGCUGGGCGGCUUCCCAGCCUUGCCCCAGCAGCCUGCUGUGGGGACCUGCUAAUCCCCCUUAAACCAGCUUCUUCCUGGCUGCUGUCACCAAGGGUGCCUUGUGAGGGCCUCCUCACUCAGGAAGAGAGGACUCUGUGACUUAGUGGGGGGUGAGCGGGGGUGGGGGGAAGGCCCAGCCUCUGUCGCCCCCUCAUGCACCAGUGCCAGCGGCCCUCAGGCCAUCUGUUCUUCAGGCUGGGUCCCAACAGAAAGGCCAUUCAGUACCGGACGGUUGGUGUCUGCCCCCCUUCCCCAGCCCACGCCUGAGCAGAUGGCCCACCUGCCACCCCUUCAUGGAGUCUCCCGGACCUUGGGGCCUGGCCGGAAGCUGGGGUGGUGGGGUCCACCCUCCUCUUAGAGAAUGUGUCAGCGCCAGACUUCAAGUCCUGGCCCUGCCUCACAGGGCCUCUGUCCUGGGCUGCCCUCUCUACCUCCUGCUGACCAGCCAGCUCCAGCCCAGGUCAUUCAGAGAGACACCACAAAGGCUGCACCUGCAGAUGCCACCCAGGUCCAUCCUCUGGUCCCCUGAUUUCACACAGGAGGCAUCAGCCACGUGCCAGAGGUGGCAGCUCCUCAGAAGUACCGAAACCUCUGGCUUUUGGGUGAGAGUGGGGCAAGGACGAGCGGUGGCGAGGUGGGGAGGAGAGACCCUGGUUCAGCCUUGGGGUCCUCUGGGACUGCCGAUCUGCCUCCCGGACUCCGUUCUCCAGGCGGAGGGCUGGACCCUGCCGUGCCGCUGUUAAUUCGCCUCCGGGCCGCUGGCCGGUGAGUGGGAGGAGGAGAGCGCCGGGUGAAGCGGGGUGAGGACUCUCCAGCAAGUGCUCCCUCCAUCUGCCGUCAGCCCAGAGUCCCAGAGCCCCGGAUCGCAGCCUCCCUGCUGGCCGAGCCCCCAACACCCGCGGCGCGCCCCUCAGAGCAAUUACGUAACGAAGCCUCCGGUGCGCCGCGGAGAGGCCGCCUUUGUUAUUGCGAUCCUCCUCGGCAGCGGCCCCGCGAGUAUUAAUAAACCGAUCACUCAAAACGCCAGCCUGGGCUUUAUUUACGUAGAUUUGGGUUGGGGCGCCUCCGAGGGAAUUAUCCCCGCGGCCCGCCCGUCCCCCAGGAGGGAGAGAGGUGGAAUCCCUUCCCUCCCCUCCCCUCUGGUCUUUCACCUUCCCUUCAGCUCAGAGGCCCUCCCCCACCCACCUUGCUGAGCAGCCUGGUCCCAGCAGUGCAAACAAGAAUAUUCCUGAACCAAAAAGUGUGGGUUCCAGGCCCAUCUUCACUUCCCUAGUGGGUGAUAUCUGGCAAAUGGAAACUCAUUAGCCUUACCUGCAAAAUGAGUGGAAUAGCAAAGUGCCCAUUUAAAUGAGAUAAUCUAGGAAUCUGCUUUGCAAAUUCUAAAGCAAUGGUUCUCAAACUUCGGCUUGUCUCAGAAUCACGUGGGGGGCUUUUCGGACCACGAUUGCUGCCCUUGCAACUUCCUUCCCCAGAGUUUCGUUGUCUGAGGUGGAACUGAGAAUUUAGGUUUCUACCAUUUUUCUGCCCCCAAGAAGGCUUUGAGACUUCACACUCUAAAGCUAUUUAUAAACUAGAAUCUAUUUGGCAGAUGUUCCUGUGGGUCUGCGGGUGACACCAUCCCCAAACUUUGUGACUUCAUUGGGGCAGGGGUAGGCCAGGAGCAGCAGGCCUUACAGGGGAUCAGCAAUGCCUGCCCUGGCCAGUGACGCAACCAGAACCAUCUGAGCUCCGGGUCAGACUGCCAGGGUUCGGGUCCCACCUCCCUGCUUUCUAGGGUGUGAUCUUGGGUAAGUUAUGUAACUCAGUGGGCCUCCAUUUUGCCAUCUUUAAAAUGGGGCUGGUAAUGAUACCAACCUCAUGAUGUUUGUUAAGAUAAAUGACACGUAAGGACCUAGACCAGCAUCUGGCACAUAGCACAGGCUCAGAAUACUCUUUCUGAAAUAAUGAUAAAGCCCCCUGGGGUUUUAUCAUUGGGCAGGAGGCAAGUGAAGUGGCAGCCAUUGCCCUAGCCGGCUGCCCAGGAUGCAAUACUAUGAUCCCACGGCACAGACCAGCUGCUCUGGGCACUCAUUGUGAAGGAGUCCUGGGGGUCGCCCAAUAUGAGGGUCCAAAAUCUGCUACCCUCCUUGCAAAGCAAUUCUUUUCCUGGCCAGGGCUCAGCACUCAGAAAAUCUGGACCCAGCCUGAGGUUCUAAUGUCAGCUACGCCCAUAAGGGAUAGUCCAUACCCCAUUGGCCCUGAGCUUUGGAAGCUGUCCUUUCAGUACCAGCACAGAGCAACAGAUGUCCAGGUGUCCCAGGCCUCGGAUACAAGGUCCACAGACACCUCCCCAAUUCUCCCAGCUAGCGGAGGGUGGAUUUCUUGCAGACAGCCACAUGUGCCCAGCUCACCGCCAUUUCCAUGUGUCCAUUCAUUCACUGAGUGAGUGAACAUUUGAGUGCUGACUGUCUGCCAUCCCUGAGCUCAGGUACAUGCACUGUCUCACUUAAUACCCCAGGAACCCUAUGUAUCAUGAUUUUCCUCUUUCCAUUUGACAGAGGAACACGCUGAAGCUCAGAGAUGCUGAGUAACUUGCCUAAGGCCACAGAGCUGGUUAGAAGAGGACUAGGACCUUGAACCUAAAUCCCAGAUGGGUCUUGUUGCUAAAUCCCGCUCUCACCUUCCUCCUUGAGCCCUCCCCCACAGGAAGCAGGAAAGCGCUGGCCAUGGUCUUCUAGUCCCCUAGCUAUCACACUCUUUCUUUGGGGAGAUCUGAGCCUCAUUGCUUCCACCCCCAUCCUGAUCAGUUGUCUCUCCCACAGAUAAGAAAUUGCUUGACAUUUCCUGGUCCUGGAGCAGCAACAGAGGUGGUGGGGAUGAGUCACACAGGAGGGAAGCUGCCGGCAGGAGAGUGGGGUGGAGGGAGGAGGGCUGGUCAGUGCUCAAGCUGGAGGGGUGGGGGCGAGAAGCGUUUGGGAGGCUUGCCUGGGGGUUCCUGAGCUCCCAGCUGCUCCUUUCAGUCCCCAGCGCUGUGCGUAACAGAGUUCUCCUCCCCAGGCAGGUUUACAGACAAGGAAGCUCUGGAGGAAAUGAGAGGAAACCAGGAGGGGAACCAGAAGCAGCUGUGAAAGCCCAGCUGUCUGCCUUCGUCCUUGUGACAUGAGACAGAGGCUCCUCCUCUCUGGGCCAAAAUGGUGCUCCUUGUGGCAGCUUCCAUGAACCCUGGCUAGACAGCUCUCACCCCAGAGCUCUGCUUUCCAGUUGAGAAUGCACCAGCACUGCUGAGUCCUCUCCCUCCCCUCCUCCCAGGCUGCCUCGUCAUAACACCAGCAGCAACAACCGAUAACUGAAGACCUGCCUGCCCCGUGUUGAGGCUUCAGGUGCAGCCUCUCUGCUAAACUUCCAAUAACUCCCAUGAGGUAGGCCCUGCCAUUAGCUCCAUUUUACAGAUGAGCAAACUGAGGCCUGGAGAAGUAAAAUCACUGGCCCAUGGUCCCAUAACCAGGACUCGAACCCAGAUCUGCUUCAGGGAAAGUGGAGGCAGGGAGUUUUGGAUAGAGUCUGCUGCUUUCCCCCGGCCCCCCUCCAAGCACUUUGCCUGUUACCCCGAGCAGUUACUGUUGCUGCUAUUGACUAUCUGGAGUCAUCUACCAGGAGGCUGUGACCUCUCCAAGGACAGGAACAGUGUCCUGUUCAAUCCAGGCUCAACAACAACAGGCUUCUGACAACACCAUGUUAAACGCUCUCAUCACUGCUGAAACCUCUUCCCACUACCCUCCCCCCCCCCCCGCCCCUGCCCCAGCCUCAAAGAUGAAGCCCAACCCCCACUCCGCAGGCCUUGCUCCUGCAGC
ensembl:lncRNA